AGAUAGAGGCGCGCCGAACGAAGAGUAACCGCGGGAGACCCCGGGUCCGUGAACGCGGCGGAAGGCGUCGGCGCCGAAGGGCGGCAUUCUCCGGAAGAGGCCGUUCCUGGCUGUGCGGCAAAUAGCCGUACGGCUGUCAUCACACAGCGGAUGAAGCGCUAUU
rnacentral:ncRNA from 1 species